UGGGGGGACAACCGUGGGAAACUACGGCUAAUACCGCAUGAUCGCUAGGAGGACGAAGAACGAAGUCGUUGAGGAGGAGCCUGCGUCUGAUUAGGUAGUUGGUGGGGUAAAGGCCUACCAAGGCGACGAUCAGUAGCUGGUCUGAGAGGAUGAUCAGUCACAUUGGGACUGAGACACGGCCCAAACUCCUACGGGAGGCAGCAGUGGGGAAUAUUGGACAAUGGGCGAAAGCCUGAUCCAGCAAUGCCGCGUGUGUGAAGAAGGUCUUCGGAUUGUAAAGCACUUUUGGCAGGGACGAUGAUGACGGUACCUGCAGAAUAAGCCCCGGCUAACUUCGUG
rnacentral:rRNA from 1 species